rnacentral:rRNA from 1 species
GAUGAACGCUGGCGGCGUGCCUAAUACAUGCAAGUCGAGCGAACAGAUAGGAGCUUGCUCCUUUGACGUUAGCGGCGGACGGGUGAGUAACACGUGGGUAACCUACCUAUAAGACUGGGAUAACUUCGGGAAACCGGAGCUAAUACCGGAUAACAUUUGGAACCGCAUGGUUCUAAAGUGAAAGAUGGUUUUGCUAUCACUUAUAGAUGGACCCGCGCCGUAUUAGCUAGUUGGUAAGGUAACGGCUUACCAAGGCGACGAUACGUAGCCGACCUGAGAGGGUGAUCAGCCACACUGGAACUGAGACACGGUCCAGACUCCUACGGGAGGCAGCAGUAGGGAAUCUUCCGCAAUGGGCGAAAGCCUGACGGAGCAACGCCGCGUGAGUGAUGAAGGGUUUCGGCUCGUAAAACUCUGUUAUUAGGGAAGAACAAAUGUGUAAGUAACUGUGCACGUCCUGACGGUACCUAAUCAGAAAGCCACGGCUAACUACGUG